UACGGAGGGGGUUAGCGUUGUUCGGAAUUACUGGGCGUAAAGCGCGCGUAGGCGGACCAGAAAGUUGGGGGUGAAAUCCCGGGGCUCAACCCCGGAACGGCCUCCAAAACUCCUGGUCUUGAGUUCGAGAGAGGUGAGUGGAAUUCCGAGUGUAGAGGUGAAAUUCGUAGAUAUUCGGAGGAACACCAGUGGCGAAGGCGGCUCACUGGCACGAUACUGACGCUGAGGUGCGAAAGUGUGGGGAGCAAACAGG
rnacentral:rRNA from 1 species